AAAAGCACCAGAACAAUAACGGAGACGCUGCACCAAAAAAAAGCAACAAAGCAAAAAGAUCGCGUUGACGUAAAGCCUAGUAACCGUUAAGAAGGGGAAACGCACUAUCAAACGCAGGUUAAAAGGGACAACGCAACUGCCAUCUAAGGCUUGAUUAACUAAGUUGUUGUCCUUUUUUUUUUCGCGUGUUCUUCCAAGCACGCACGUUAGGAUUUCUUUUUCUUUACCUUUCCGUCAGGAGAGCAAGGGCGGUAGCACGCGAACAACUCUCCGCUAACUACACAAAGCAUAGAGCAAGAGAAGAGACAGGAAAACGCGAGCAGGUAACAAAAGCGUUUUGUCUCUUAUCGACACUCCUCCUCCGCGCAGCACGCAUCUACGUCUUUAUUUAUAUAACUCGCAACGACGCCUUCUUUUGCUUACCAUGGACUCGAGUCAUCUCAUCGCACUGCUGAAUGGACUGCGCUCCGCCGACAACCAAGAGCGCAAGUCCGCUGAGGAGCACUACAAUGGCAUGGUUGCCUCCAGUCCUGUUUGGAUGAUGUGUGCCUUGGCGGAGACUAGUGCGACUUCGCAGGACACGGGUGUGAAGACCAUGAGCUUGGUGCUGCUGCGCAAGCUCUUCAACGCUACCCCGUCACCAUAUGCCGCGUCCGAUGCGGUAGCGCGCGCUGCGGUGAAGGCGCAUAUGCUCGCUGUGAUCAACUCUGCUUCUCAGGGUGGCCUGCGCUCGCCUGCUGCGGCGUGCGUCAGUGCUCUGGCGGUGCAGGUGUUUCAGGAGAAGGAGGACUGGAAUGAGCUGUGGACGAGCGUUAUGACCAUUCUCGGCGACGCCAAGGGCGACACGGCGCUGAGGACGAUGUGCUGCGAAAUCGUCCAGGCAACCUCGAUGGCCAUGGCUGCGUACUUCCAAUCUCAUGCCGAUACGCUAGCGACGGGCUUGGAGACGUGCUUCAUGCAAGAGACAGACGGUGCCGACCUCAAGAAGGCCGCCUUCGAGGCGACGAUUCGUCUGUCAAACCUUGGCAUGGCGGACCGUCUGCGUCCGCUGGUGCCGAAGAUGCUGAGUGUCAUCGAGGCCUACCUAAACCAGGGCGAGUGGGAGUCGGUGGAGUCGAUCCUGGAGGCCACUGUGGAGGGAAUGUCGUCGAGCAUUAGCCUCUUCCAGCAUGAUGCCGAGCACCUUCUGGGGCUUAUGAUGCAGGUGGCCGCCGCACCUCAGGUGGACGCCGGCGCGCGCCACAUGGCGGUGGAGCUGAUGCUGACAUACUGCGAGGAAGUUCCGAAGACCGUGCGCAAGGUGCCGCAGUUCGCCUCAUCCUUUUUCGAGUUGCUCUUCCAGUACACUCUGAACCCCGACUACGGUGCGGACUGGGACGUCACCGGCCGCGACAAAGACGAAGACAACCUGGAGGAGAACUCGGAUCUGGUGAUCGGGUCGAGCGGGCUGGAUCGCAUUUCGAACGCCCUCGGCGGCCGCAAGCUUCAAAAAACGGCGCAGACGCUGUUUGCACAGAACAUCAACUCGCCGCAGUGGCAGCAUAGAAACGCCGCGGUGCUGCUUAUCUGCUACGCAGGCGAGGGCAUGCGCACUGUCUUUUCGUCGCAGCUGCCGUCGCUGGUGCAGAUGGUCGUGCCGCACGUGAAGGACGAGUCCAAGUACGUGCGCGCCAACACGCUUGACUGCCUCGCACAGCUCUCCCAGGACUUUGCGCCGGAGCUGCAGAUGAAGGUGCACGGCGCCAUCCUGCCUGCAGUCGUUGCUGCUCUGCGCGACGACGUGCCGCGCGUGGCGACAUGCGCGGCCAACUGCCUUGACAGCUUCAUUGACAGCGUGACGGGUGAUGAGGAGGAAGACGACGACGAGGACGGCCUCGACGAGUUCCGCGCCAUCCUGCAUCCGUACAUAGAGGUGAUGUGCGGUGAUUGCCUAGCGAUGAUCAGAGGGACACAGCACUUCUUUGUCCGUGAGGCGGCGCUGGGCGUGCUCUCGUCAGUGUCCUCAACGUGCAAGGGCAUGCUUCUGCCGUACGUGGAGGCGCUCGUGCCUGUCUACCAGGAGGUGCUGAGCUUUCCGGACACACCGGAGGCGAUGAAGACAAAGUGCAAGGCCAUCGAGUGUGUGACGCUGCUCGCCUGCGGUGUUGGCCGUGAUGCGUUUGCCAAGUACGCGCAUGAUGUGUGCAACUACUUGAAACAGCUGUGCGACGGCGGCCUCACGAAUGAUGACCCGCGCACACGUUUCGUGAUGCGUGGCUGGACAUGCAUGGUGGAGUGUCUCAAGGACCAGGCCCAGCCGUACCUCAGCACCGUCAUCCCCAUCCUGCUGAACAUGAUGAGCAUGGAGUGCGACAUGGAGAUCGCGAACGUGGGCGUCGGCGAGGACGACGAUGACGAUGACCUGCCGGACGGUGUGGAGAAGAUGCGCUUUGUUAUCCCGGGCGUCGGUGAGCGAGUCGUGACGAUUCACACAAGCCUCAUCGAGGACAAGGAGCUUGCCUCCAACGUGGUCUUCGCGAUGCUGAAGGACCUUGGCAUCGGACUGGCCCCAUAUUUCUGCGAUAUUGCGAACGCGGCCAUGGGCCAGCUGUCCUUCAUUGCUGGUGAGGCUGUUCGUGAGAGCGGCGCGUCGAUGCUCGAAGAGAUACUGAAGUGCUACGAGGAGAUGAAGGACCCGGCGGCGCAGCAGCUGGCCGAGGCAGCUCUGCCGAAGCUGAUGGAGGCGCUCGGCGAGGAGUCGGAAAACAGCGUGAUGGAGGUGAUGCUGCGGUGCAUUGGUCGCUGCGUUAGCGUGCACCCGGCAAUCAUGAGUCCCACCAACACGGCCCUCGUGUGUGACAAGGUAAUGGCUGCUUUGGAGGUUGUGGUAAAGCGCCGCAACGAGUGCCUGCAGAAGAAGGCGACGGAGAACGAUGAGGAUGAGCUCGACGCGCUUGAGGUGGAGGACGAGGAGGUCCAGCUGACCAUCUCCUCCAUGUGUGACUUGAUUGGCACUCUUCUCGCUGCCUCGAAGGAGGUGUUCGCAGCGCCGUUCCUUGAGAAAGCCUUUCCCGUGCUCGGUGAGUGGCUUCAGGCGUCGACGGACGACUUUUACAUGACGCGUGCCGCCGGCAUUCUGAGCGACUUUGUGACGCACGCGCCACAGUCGAUUGUUCCGUCGCUGCCACAGAUCUGUACGAGCUCGUUGACGAUCGCGUCGUCGUCCUCCGACGACGGGCUGCUGCAGAGCGACUUUUACCUCAUGAACGUCAUUGUCCAGCUGCUCGGCUCGCACGCAACUACGAACAUGGGUGUCGACGGCGGUGAGUACGCUGUACACGUGCAGCAGGUGGCCGAAAAGUACUUCUCGUCGAACCUGGUGAAUCAGGAGGAGUACACACACUGCACCUGUAACGUGAUAAGCCUGUACGUGUCGCUGCUGAACUUCUACGGCACGACGGCGCUCCAGCAGGCGGCAACAGCGAUGCUGACAGUAGUGGGCAAGGCGCUGCCGGCGAAGGAUGACGAGAUAGAGGCCCGCCGCAUCCACGAUGUGGUUCUCGGGUGGGUGACGAACAACCAUCCCGUCCUGCAAGCCCUCCCCGGCUCCACUGCCGGAUUUUUGACUUGCGUGAAGGCAGCUAGCCCCAGCUGCCUCUCCGAGCAGGCGAAGCAGUACCUUGCCAGUAUGUAAGUACUACUGACGUUAGUGGUGUAUGUGUGCGUGAAUUGCGUAAGAGCUGAGAGGGUGAAGAAGGAAAGGAAGUCCAAAAAAAAAGAAGAGAGUGGAAACGAGAUUGCAACUUGUUUGAGCGCAGCGCGUUGCGAGAGGAAGGGGGACGGCGAGGGGAUGCCCAUGGAGGACGUUUCGCCAGCACAUGCACAUCCUAUUUUCUUCCCUUACCCGUCCCUGUGGCGCCCACCUCUCGCAGGUCCCUCUCUCGGUGUCUCUCUCUCUGCCUCUGUCUCUUUCGUUUUGCUUUCCUGGUUGCAUCGCCUCGUUUUCGCGUUAUUAAGACUUUAAUGUAAUGCGAAAGGGAGAAAUAGGAAAACGCGAUGCAAAGGCCUUGCAGCAGGAAAUGAGGGGCUGUGUGGGGGUGGUCUAUAGAUGAACAGAGCCGACGCCGGAUACAGGGACGUGUACACGAAGAACAAGGGGGGGGGGUGGAGGUGUAGAGGGGCGCUUGUAAGCGGCGCGGCGACUUGCUUGGUGUAUUGGCCCCAACCUCCUCUCCUCGCUUUCUCUCUCGCUUUCUCUCCUCAUGUUCGUUUCCACAGCCUGUUUGCUGCACCUAUUCCCUCCGUCCCUCUCUGCCCAUUCCGGCGUGCGUGCUAUUCCGUGGUGCAGUGGAGUUGUAUUGCCUCGCUUGUUUCUUUUCGAUGAUGAUACCUUUUUAUUCUUAGGUGUGCUUCUGCAAUGAUUCUAAGUUUCUCUGUGUGCAUGUGUGCAUCAUGGUGCGUGUGCGUUAGCUUCUCUUCCUUUUCUUGGUAAUGUUUUCAUGUGUGUGCCUUUUACAUGACGCUCUCUCAAAUUAAAGGCGCAU
rnacentral:misc_RNA from 1 species